rnacentral:rRNA from 1 species
CUCGGCAAAUUAUCCUCAUAAGUUCGACAAGAAGAGGGGCUAUUAGUAUUUAGAAUAAAUAUAAGACUUCUUCCUUAUUCUUUAUAUUAGUAGUGGCACAAAAAUGGGAGCCCCGACUGUUUACUAAAAACACAGCUAUCUGCAAAGACGUAAGUCAUAGUAUAGGUAGUGAGGUUUGCUCAAUGUCCGUAGCAUAAAAUUAGUAAUUGGCAACAGUUACGACUUGAAAGCCGGAUGAAUAGCGGUCUUAACUAUGAGGAUCCUAAGGUAGCAAAAUCAAUUGGCCGUUAAAUGCGGUCCGGAAUCAAUAAUUUAACGAUGGCUCUGCUGUCUCUACAACUUGCUCAGUGAAAUUGAAUUGCACGUGCAGAUGCGUGCGCAACCAUCAGUGGGACGGGAAGACCCUAUGCA